rnacentral:rRNA from 1 species
AGGGAGUGGCGAACGGGUGAGUAACACGUUGGAACCUAUUCUGAACUCAGGGAUAACCUCGGGAAACCGAGAUUAAUACCGGAUGUCCCAGUAAUGGGAAAGAUUUAUUGGUUCGGGAGGGGCCUGCGUAGUAUUAGCUUGUUGGUAAGGUAAAAGCUUACCAAGGCUAUGAUGUUUAACUGGUUUGAGAGGAUAACCAGUUAUAAUGGAAUUGAGAUAUGGUUUAUACUCCUAUGGGAGGUAGUAGUGAGGAAUUUUUUGUAAUGGGCGAAAGUUUGAUGGAGCGACACCGCGUGGAGGAUGAAGGCCUUUUGGUUGUAAACUCCUUUUCUGAAGGAAUAAAUGAUGAAGUUACUUCAGGAAUAAGCACCGGUUAAUUACGUGUUAGUAGUUGUGGUAAUAUGUAGGGUGCAAGCGUUAUCCGGAAUUAUUGGGCGUAAAGCGUUCGUAGGCUGUCUGUUAAGUUUGUAGUUAAAUUUGUCGUUUAAUGAUCGAAUCGCUACAAAAACUGACAGACUAGAGAAUGGCAGAGGCAACUGGAAUUCCACAUGUAGGGGUAAAAUCCGUUGAUAUGUGGAGGAAUAUUAAAAGUGAAGGUAGGUUGCUGGGCCAUUUCUGAUGCUGAGGAACGAAAGCGUGGGGAGUAAAUAGGAUUAGAUACUCUGGUAGUCCACGCCGUAAACGAUGGAUACUCGGUGUAAAGGGGAUUUGAUUCCCCUUUGUGCCUAAGUUAAUGUGUUAAGUAUCCCGUUUGGGGAGUACGGUCGUAAGAUUAAAACUCAAAGGAAUAGACGGGGACCCACACAAGCGGUGGAGCAUGUGGUUUAAUUUGAUAAUAAAUGGGGAAUUUUACCCAGGCUUGAUAUUUCCGGAAAUCUCAAGAAAUUGAGAUGUGCCGUAAGGAACCGGAUGACAGGUGCUGUAUGGUCGUCGUCAGCUCGUGCCUUGAGGUGUUCGGUUAAGUCCGUAAACGAGCGUAAUCCAUGUCCUAUGUUGUAAUUUCAUAGGAGACUGCCGGCUUUAAGUCGGAGGAAGGUAUGGAUGACGUCAGAUCAGUAUGGCCCUUAUGCCUGGGGUUAUACACGUGCUACAAUGGCAGGUAUAAUGAGUUGCUAACCCGUAAGGGGGAGUUAAUUUCAUUAAAGCCUGUCUCAGUUCGGAUUGAGGGUUGAAAUUUGACCUCAUGAAGUUGGAAUCGCUAGUAACCGCAAAUUAGUUAUGUUGCGGUGAAUAUGUUCCUGGGUCUUGUACUCACCGCCCGUCACAUCAUGAAAGGUGGGGGUGUCCGAAGUCGCCUUAGUCCUUUGGGACGGGUGCCUAAGGUAAACUCACUGAUUGGGAUGAAGUCGAAAUAAGGUA